AGACCCGAAACCCGGUGAUCUAGCCAUGGGCAGGUUGAAGGUUGGGUAACACUAACUGGAGGACCGAACCGACUAAUGUUGAAAAAUUAGCGGAUGACCUGUGGCUGGGGGUGAAAGGCCAAUCAAACCGGGAGAUAGCUGGUUCUCCCCGAAAGCUAUUUAGGUAGCGCCUCGUGAAUUCAUCUCCGGGGGUAGAGCACUGUUUCGGCUAGGGGGCCAUCCCGGCUUACCAACCCGAUGCAAACUGCGAAUACCGGAGAAUGUUAUCACGGGAGACACACGGCGGGUGCUAACGUCCGUCGUGAAGAGGGAAACAACCCAGACCGCCAGCUAAGGUCCCAAAGUCAUGGUUAAGUGGGAAACGAUGUGGGAAGGCCCAGACAGCCAGGAUGUUGGCUUAGAAGCAGCCAUCAUUUAAAGAAAGCGUAAUAGCUCACUGGUCGAGUCGGCCUGCGCGGAAGAUGUAACGGGGCUAAACCAUGCACCGAAGCUGCGGCAGCGACACUCAGGUGUUGUUGGGUAGGGGAGCGUUCUGUAAGUCUGCGAAGGUGGCCUGUGAGGGUUGCUGGAGGUAUCAGAAGUGCGAAUGCUGACAUAAGUAACGAUAAAGCGGGUGAAAAGCCCGCUCGCCGGAAGACCAAGGGUUCCUGUCCAACGUUAAUCGGGGCAGGGUGAGUCGACCCCUAAGG
rnacentral:rRNA from 1 species